GGUCCUAUCGUCUAGCCUGGUUUAGGACGCAUGGUUUUCAUCCAUGUAACCCGGGUUCAAAUCCCGGUAGGACCGCCA
rnacentral:tRNA from 1 species